rnacentral:rRNA from 1 species
UACGAAGGGGGCGAGCGUUGUUCGGAUUUACUGGGCGUAAAGGGCGCGCAGGCGGCUAUCUUUUGUCAGGCGUGAAAGCCCCGGGCUUAACCUGGGAAUGGCGCUUGGGACGGGGUGGCUUGAGUCCGGGAGAGGUGAGUGGAAUUCCCAGUGUAGCGGUGAAAUGCGUAGAUAUUGGGAGGAACACCAGUGGCGAAGGCGGCUCACUGGACCGGGAACUGACGCUGAGGCGCGAAAAGCGUGGGGGAGCAAACGGGG